rnacentral:rRNA from 1 species
AUGGAAGAAGCUUGCUUCUUCUGAUGGCGACCGGCGCACGGGUGCGUAACGCGUAUCAAACCUGCCUCAUACUCGGGGAUAGCCUUGCGAAAGUAAGAUUAAUACCCGAUGUUGUUAUGUUUCCGCAUGGUGAUAUAACCAAAGAUUUAUCGGUAUGAGAUGGUGAUGCGUCCGAUUAGGUAGUAGGCGGGGUAACGGCCCACCUAGCCUUCGAUCGGUAGGGUUCUGAGAGGAAGGUCCCCCACACUGGAACUGAGACACGGUCCAGACUCCUACGGGAGGCAGCAGUGAGGAAUAUUGGUCAAUGGACGGAAGUCUGAACCAGCCAAGUAGCGUGCAGGAUGACGGCCCUCUGGGUUGUAAACUGCUUUUAGCUUGGGAAUAACAAAGAGGACGUGUCCUCUAUUGUAUGUACCUUCAGAAAAAGGACCGGCUAAUUCCGUGCCAGCAGCCGCGGUAAUACGGAAGGUCCAGGCGUUAUCCGGAUUUAUUGGGUUUAAAGGGAGCGUAGGCGGAUUAUUAAGUCAGUGGUGAAAGACGGUGGCUCAACCGUCGUUAGCCAUUGAAACUGGUAGUCUUGAGUGCAGACAGGGAUGCUGGAACUCGUGGUGUAGCGGUGAAAUGCUUAGAUAUCACGAUGAACUCCGAUCGCGAAGGCAGGUGUCCGGGCUGCAACUGACGCUGAGGCUCGAAAGUGUGGGUAUCAAACAGGAUUAGAUACCCUGGUAGUCCACACAGUAAACGAUGUAUACUCGCGGUUU